UAGGGAAUCUUCCACAAUGGGCGCAAGCCUGAUGGAGCAACGCCGCGUGAGUGAAGAAGGUCUUCGGAUCGUAAAACUCUGUUGUUAGAGAAGAACACGAGUGAGAGUAACUGUUCAUUCGAUGACGGUAUCUAACCAGAAAGCCACGGCUAACUACGUGCCAA
rnacentral:rRNA from 1 species